rnacentral:rRNA from 1 species
GACGAACGCUGGCGGCGUGCUUAACACAUGCAAGUCGAACGGAAAGGCCCUGCUUUUGUGGGGUGCUCGAGUGGCGAACGGGUGAGUGACACGUGAGUAACCUGCCCUUGACUUUGGGAUAACUUCAGGAAACUGGGGCUAAUACCGGAUAGGAGCUCCUGCUGCAUGGUGGGGGUUGGAAAGUUUCGGCGGUUGGGGAUGGACUCGCGGCUUAUCAGCUUGUUGGUGGGGUAGUGGCUUACCAAGGCUUUGACGGGUAGCCGGCCUGAGAGGGUGACCGGCCACAUUGGGACUGAGAUACGGCCCAGACUCCUACGGGAGGCAGCAGUGGGGAAUAUUGCACAAUGGGCGGAAGCCUGAUGCAGCAACGCCGCGUGCGGGAUGACGGCCUUUGGGUUGUAAACCGCUUUCGCCUGUGACGAAGCGUGAGUGACGGUAAUGGGUAAAGAAGCACCGGCUAACUACGUG